UGUCCUGGAACUCACUCUGUAGACCAGGCUGGCCUCGAACUCAGAAAUCCACCUGCCUCUGCCUCAGAGAAAUGUUUUAUAGCAUCAUUAUUUACAGCAAGCUAAGUGCUUAUAAAUCCAUAAAUCUCUACAGAAGGUGUGCUGUGGCCAUCCAAUGGAAUACUGUUUCUGUGUUUUUGUUUUUGUUUUUUCUUUUUGAAAGGAAGUUCUGACAAUUGCUCUAGCACAGAUGAACUUUGAGGGCAUUAAGCCCACUGAAAUAAGCCAGUGACAAAAAGACAAAUGUUGUGAUCACACUUAAAUAAGGUAAGUAGACUGUCGGUCAAGCAGGUAGGGGCAGAAAGCAGAACGCUAGCCGCUAGGGGAUGUGGGGAGGGCAGAAUGGGCAUUUGUUGUUUAAUGGAUGUAAAGGUUCAGUUUUGCAAAAGGAAAAGGUGAGGCUGAGGACAUUGCUCUCUAGCAGAACGCUCACCUAGCAUUUCUGAGACCUGAGUUCAAUGUCCAACAGCUCAUGCACACACACAUGCACAGGAGAAAGAAGGGAAAGAAGCUACCCUUUUACUUAAAAAAUGUAUUUAUUUUUAUUUUAUGUGUGUGUGCCUGAGCUGCAAGUGCCCACUGAGUGCAGAAGAAAGUGUUGGAUCUCCUGAAACUGGAGUUACACGUGCUUGUGAGCCACCUGAUGUGCUGAGAGCGGUCCUUAGGCCUCUGCAAUAGCAGCAAGUCCUAUGUAAUGCCUCAUAAUGACUUUUGUUUAGACAACAAAUUAUUUUUUUAAGAUAUUUACACAAAUAAAAGAUAUUUUGAAAAUUCUUAUAGGGCUCGGGUAUGGCUACAUAAAGCCAUGGGUUCCAUCAUCAGUGCAAGAAGAAAUAAAUGAACUUAUAUUUAUCAAAUGUAUUAAGCAUUUCUGGCUUCAUUCAUUUGUAUAGAUUCAGCCUGCCAUCUGCUAUAAAUUUUCUUCUACCUGAAGGAAACAUGAACAUUUCUUGAACUGUAAAUGGUCUUCACCACUCUCCAGCCCUUCUUUUUCAUUUUUUUUGAGAUCAGACUCUCAUAUAUCUCAGGCUGACCUUGAAGUUGCUAGCUAGCAACUAUGGAUACCUUUGAAUUUCUGGUCUUCUUUGCUCUGCUGCCAGAGUGCUGAGGUUACAGGCUUGUAUCACCGGGUCUAUGUGGUGCUUUGUAUAUAGCCAAGGCUCUGUGCAUGCUAGGUAAGCACUCGAUCAACUCAGCUGUGCAUCUAUACCUAACACCCAUUUGUUUUUGUGUUUAAAUUUUGGUAGUUUAUAUGGCUGUAUCUUCAAGCCCACUAUUUUUUCUCUUUCCCAAGAGGAUGAAUGUUACCUAAAAAC
rnacentral:lncRNA from 1 species